UAGGGAAUUUUGCGCAAUGGGCGAAAGCCAGACGCAGCAACGCCGCGUGAAUGAUUAAGCCCUUCGGGGUGUAAAGUUCUGUCAGUGGGGACGAAACUUGACGGUACCCACAGAGGAAGCACCGGCUAACUCCGUGCCAGCAGCCGCGGUAAUACGGAGGGUGCAAGCGUUGUCCGGAAUCAUUGGGCGUAAAGAGUUCGUAGGUGGUAUGUUAAGUCUGGUGUUAAAUCCCGAAGCUCAACUUCGGUCCGGCACCGGAUACUGGCAAACUUGAAUGCGGUAGAGGUAAAGGGAAUUCCUGGUGUAGCGGUGAAAUGCGUAGAUAUCAGGAGGAACAUCGGUGGCGUAAGCGCUUUACUGGGCCGUAAUUGACACUGAGGAACGAAAGCCGGGGUAGCAAAUG
rnacentral:rRNA from 1 species